CUUUACGAUAUAAAUAUUACCUAUGCUUUAAAUCGUCAGUAAUAAAUCUAAUAUUGUUCGUUCUGAUAGCCAAAUUAUUGCUUUUGAAGCGGUAAAGAUUUGAGAUUCCUGUUGUUCCGUGAUCAUCUUACAACAUUGGAAUGUUAAUUUUGUAUAUUUAUGUGUGUAUCCGCUAAACUUCCAACGCGGGCUCAUAAUGAUGGCGGCGAUACUAAAGUGAUCGCGUGGAAGAAAACACGUUUGCUUCGCCGACCGCGGUUUUUAGUCAAUUUAGUACAUUAACAACGCUUUUGUUUAGUGGAAACCUUGCAGUUUACGAAACGAAUCAGCCCCUGCUCCGAGCUGGCUUCGUUUCAAAAUAAUGUACACUUAUUGACACCAGAGCAUAGUGUCAGUUG